GACGCACGCUAGCUACAGGCUUAACACAUGCAAGUCGAGGGGUAGCAGGGUAGCAAUACCGCUGACGACCGGCGCCCGGGUGAGUCACACGUAUCCAACCUUCCCAUAACUCGGGGAUAGCCUUUCGAAAGAAAGCUUAAUACCCGAUAGUACUUUUUCAAGGCAUCUUGAGAAAGUUAAAGAUUUAUUGGUUAGGGAUGGGGAUGCGUUCCAUUAGAUAGUUGGUGAGGUAACGGCUCACCAAGUCUUCGAUGGAUAGGGGUUCUGAGAGGAAGGUCCCCCACAUUGGUACUGAGACACGGACCAAACUCCUACGGGAGGCAGCGGUGAGGAAUAUUGGUCAAUGGGCGAGAGCCUGAACCAGCCAAGUAGCGUGAAGGAUGAAGGUCCUAUGGAUUGUAAACUUCUUUUAUAGUAGAAUAAAGUGACCUACGUGUGGGUUUUUGUAUGUAUACUAUGAAUAAGGAUCGGCUAACUCCGUGCCAGCAGCCGCCGUAA
rnacentral:rRNA from 1 species